rnacentral:lncRNA from 1 species
GGGUUUUCGGGUUUUUGUUUUGCUUGAUUUCAUUUUCCAUAAUGGCUGCUGAUCGUGAUAAAGGCUGGACUCUUGACUCAUUUCAUCGUUAUAUCGAAUUUAGGUAUGUUUAAGACUUGCUCUUUAGUUUCCUAGGUUGAUUUCUGCAGGAAAAUUUCGAUUAUAUGUUAGGAAUAUCACCUACACAUGAAUUUGGUUCGAAAGAAACAAAAAAAUAUUUGAGAAUCAAAAAAAAAAAUGCAGACUGACCUAUUCAUAAAAUUAUAUGGAACUGCUGCAGGUACUGUUUGACAGUGAAUGUGAUAGGAUUUAUAUACUCGGCCUUACAAGGAUUUGAUCUUGCAUACCAGUUAUUCUCCUCUGAUGGUAAUAAACUUCUUGUGCCUGCAUCUCAUCUCCGCAAUAUUGUUGAUUUUGCCUCCGAUCAGGUGUCUUUUUCCGUCUACUUUUGAUUGUCAUUCUGCUUUAUUCUGCUUGAAUUCAUCAUUUUUUAUCGAAGUUGAUCAAGUC